rnacentral:snoRNA from 1 species
CCAUAAGAGUCUGGCUCAAUGAAUGGGGAUUGACAGUAGUU